rnacentral:rRNA from 1 species
UUCCGGUUGAUCCUGCCGGAGGACAUUGCUAUUGGGAUUCGAUUUAGCCAUGCUAGUCGAACGAGUUCACACUCGUGGCACAUAGCUCAGUAACACGUGGCCAAGCUACCCUUCAGUCGGCAAUACCCUCGGGAAACUGAGGCUAAUAGCCGAUACGAAACAGACGCUGGAAUGCACUGUAUUCCAAAGACACCGCUGAAGGAUGCGGCUGCGGCCGAUUAGGUAGACGGUGGGGUAACGGCCCACCGUGCCAGUAAUCGGUACGGGUGAUGAGAGUCAGAGCCCGGAGACGGAAUCUGAGACAAGAUUCCGGGCCCUACGGGGCGCAGCAGGCGCGAAACCUUUACACUGCACGAAAGUGCGAUAGGGGAAUCCCAAGUGCGAGGGCAUAUUAGCCCUCGCUUUUGUUGACUCUAAGGCGGUCAACGAAUAAGAGCUGGGCAAGACCGGUGCCAGCCGCCGCGGUAAUACCGGCAGCUCAAGUGAUGUCCCAUAUUAUUGGGCCUAAAGCGUCCGUAGCUGGCCGCGCAAGUCCGUCGGGAAAUCCACCUGCCCAACAGGUGGGCGUCCGGCGGAAACUGUGUGGCUUGGAACCGGAAGGCUCAGAGAGUACGUCCGGGGUAGGAGUGAAAUCCCGUAAUCCCGGUCGGACUACCGAUGGCGAAAGCACUCUGAGAAGACGGCUUCGACAGUGAGGGACGAAAGCUCGGGUCUCAAACCGGAUUAGAUACCCGGGUAGUC